ACAGGUAAGGGUGCAAGGGUGCGGUAAGAGCGCACCAGCAGCGUCGAGAGGCGCUGGCUCGGUAAACCCCGGUUGGGAGCAAGGUCGAAGGAGCAACGGUUGGUCUUUUUCCGGCUCCGGGUAGAAAUGGUGAAUCCAUUUCUGCGAAACCCGCUAGAGGUGUCUGGCAACAGACAUCCCAGAUAGAUAACUGCCCUUCUAGCAGUUCUUCUGCUAAAAGAACAGAACCCGGCUUAUGUCCGACUCUUCCC
rnacentral:RNase_P_RNA from 1 species